GAUGAAGAACGUAGUGAAAUGCGAUACUUGGUGUGAAUUGCAGAAUCCCGUGAACCAUCGAGUCUUUGAACGCAAGUUGCGCCCGAAGCCAUUAGGCCGAGGGCACGCCUGCCUGGGCGUCACACGUCGUUGCCCCCCCAUCUACUCCUUCGGGAUUGCGGGGGGCGGAUGAUGGCCUCCCGUGCGCCUCGUCGCGCGGUUGGCAUAAAUGCCAAGUCCUCGGCGACGCACGCCACGACAAUCGGUGGUUGCGAAACCUCGGUUGCCCGUCGUGUGCGGUCGUCGCGCAUCGAGGGCUCGAAAAAAUUGUCGGGCUCCGGCUCGACUUUCAACGCGACCCCAGGUCAGGCGGGGUUACCCGCUGAAUUUAAGCAUAUCAAUAAGCGGAGGA
rnacentral:misc_RNA from 1 species